rnacentral:rRNA from 1 species
UUUAUGGAGAGUUUGAUCCUGGCUCAGGAUGAACGCUGGCGGCGUGCCUAAUACAUGCAAGUCGAGCGAACAGAUAAGGAGCUUGCUCCUUUGACGUUAGCGGCGGACGGGUGAGUAACACGUGGGUAACCUACCUAUAAGACUGGAAUAACUCCGGGAAACCGGGGCUAAUGCCGGAUAACAUGUUGAACCGCAUGGUUCUACAGUGAAAGACGGUCUUGCUGUCACUUAUAGAUGGACCCGCGCCGUAUUAGCUAGUUGGUGGGGUAACGGCCUACCAAGGCGACGAUACGUAGCCGACCUGAGAGGGUGAUCGGCCACACUGGAACUGAGACACGGUCCAGACUCCUACGGGAGGCAGCAGUAGGGAAUCUUCCGCAAUGGGCGAAAGCCUGACGGAGCAACGCCGCGUGAGUGAUGAAGGUCUUCGGAUCGUAAAGCUCUGUUGUUAGGGAAGAACAAAUGUGUAAGUAACUGUGCACAUCUUGACGGUACCUAACCAGAAAGCCACGGCUAACUACGUGCCAGCAGCCGCGGUAAUACGUAGGUGGCAAGCGUUAUCCGGAAUUAUUGGGCGUAAAGCGCGCGUAGGCGGUUUUUUAAGUCUGAUGUGAAAGCCCACGGCUCAACCGUGGAGGGUCAUUGGAAACUGGAAAACUUGAGUGCAGAAGAGGAAAGUGGAAUUCCAUGUGUAGCGGUGAAAUGCGCAGAGAUAUGGAGGAACACCAGUGGCGAAGGCGGCUUUCUGGUCUGCAACUGACGCUGAUGUGCGAAAGCGUGGGGAUCAAACAGGAUUAGAUACCCUGGUAGUCCACGCCGUAAACGAUGAGUGCUAAGUGUUAGGGGGUUUCCGCCCCUUAGUGCUGCAGCUAACGCAUUAAGCACUCCGCCUGGGGAGUACGGUCGCAAGACUGAAACUCAAAGGAAUUGACGGGGACCCGCACAAGCGGUGGAGCAUGUGGUUUAAUUCGAAGCAACGCGAAGAACCUUACCAAAUCUUGACAUCCUUUGACCGCUCUAGAGAUAGAGUUUUCCUCUUCGGAGGACAAAGUGACAGGUGGUGCAUGGUUGUCGUCAGCUCGUGUCGUGAGAUGUUGGGUUAAGUCCCGCAACGAGCGC